UCGGUAUGAUCAUUCUUUCAUCAGUUUGUUCCCUGUUUCUUCUCUAGCCUGAGCCUGACACACUAUUCUAGCUAGACAUGGGUGUGGCUCGUGACACCUGAUGACCAAAUGGAUCUACGGCACCGUCGAAUCUCAAACUUUAACUGCCAAAACUAUUGUUUUUCAUCCUGUAGUCCCUUUUAGAAUUACGAAACGUCCUUUUUUGGGCCAUGAUUUCCAGGAAUGCUUUCUCGGGGUUUGUGUGCACGUAUUUCAAACCAUACGGACCUAAAAAUUAGAAGUCAUUCCAUCUUUAUUCCCCUAGAGCCUUCCGGCAGUUCCUAAACUGCUCUAUUUGGAGCAUGUUAUCAUUCUUGUUAGUUCUGAGUGAAUUCCCUCGGUAUGAUCAUUCUUUCAUCAGUUUGUUCCCCGUUUCUUCUCUAGUCUGAGCCUAGCACACUAUUCUAGCUAUUAAUGGGUGUGGAUCGUAACACCUGAUGAGCAAACGGAUCUACGGCACCAUCGAAUCUCAAACUUUAACUGCCAAAACUAUUGUUUUUCAUUCUGUAGUCCCUUUUCGAAUUAUUAAACGUCCUUUUUUGGGCCGAGAUUUCCAGGAACGCUUUCUCGGGGUUUGUGUGCAUGUAUUUCAAAUCAUACGGACCUAAAAAUUAGAAGGCAUUCCAUCUUUAUUCCCCUAGAGACUUCCAGCAGUUCCUAAACCGCUCCAGUCGGAGCAUGUUAUCAUUCUUGUUAGUUCUGAGCGAAUUCCCUCGGUAUGAUCAUUCUAUCAUCUGUUUGUUCCCUGUUUCUUCGCUAGCCUAAGCCUGACACACUAUUCUAGGUAGACAUGGGUGUGGCUCGUGACACCUAAUGACCAAACGGAUCUACGGCACCCUCGAAUCUCAAACUUUAACUACCAAAACUAUUGUUUUUCAUUCUGUAGUCCCUUUUAGAUUACUAAACAUCCUUUUUUGGGCUGAGAUUUCCAGGAACGCUUUCUCGGGGUUUGUGUGCAUGUAUUUCAAACCAAACGUUCCUAAAAUUAGAAGUCAUUCCAUCUUAAUUCCCCUAGAGCCUUCUAGCAAUUCCUAAACAGCUCUAGUCGGAGCAUGUUAUCAUUCUUGUUAAUUCUGAGCGAAUUCCCUCCGUAUGAUCAUUCUUUCAUCAGUUUGUUCUCCGUUUCUGCUCUAGUCUGAGCCUAGCACACUAUUCUAGCUAUUAAUGGGUGUGGAUCGUAACACCUAAUGACCAAACGGAUCUACGACACCAUCGAAUCUCAAACUUUAACUGCCAAAACUAUUGUUUUUCAUCCUGUAGUCCCUUUUCGAAUUAUUAAACGUCCUUUUUUGGGCCGAGAUUUCCAGGAACGCUUUCUCGGGGUUUGUGU
rnacentral:lncRNA from 1 species